GUGCUCACUUUAUCAACACAUAUCCUAAAAUUGGAACGAUACAGAGAUUAGCAUGACCUCUGCGUGAGGAUGACACGCAAAUUUAUGGAAAAAAAAAAAAAAAAA